rnacentral:rRNA from 1 species
AUUGAACGCUGGCGGCAGGCCUAACACAUGCAGGUCGAGCGGAUGAAGGGAGCUUGCUCCUGGAUUCAGCGGCGGACGGGUGAGUAAUGCCUAGGAAUCUGCCUGGUAGUGGGGGAUAACGUCCGGAAACGGGCGCUAAUACCGCAUACGUCCUGAGGGAGAAAGUGGGGGAUCUUCGGACCUCACGCUAUCAGAUGAGCCUAGGUCGGAUUAGCUAGUUGGUGGGGUAAAGGCCUACCAAGGCGACGAUCCGUAACUGGUCUGAGAGGAUGACCAGUCACACUGGAACUGAGACACGGUCCAGACUCCUACGGGAGGCAGCAGUGGGGAAUAUUGGACAAGGGGCGAAAGCCUGAUCCAGCCAUGCCGCGUGUGUGAAGAAGGUCUUCGGAUUGUAAGCACUUUAAGUUGGGAGGAAGGGCAGUAAGUUAAUACCUUGCUGUUUUGACGUUACCAACAGAAUAAGCACCGGCUAACUUCGUG